UACAGAGGUCUCAAGCGUUUGUUCGGAUUCAUUGGGCGUAAAGGGUGCGUAGGCGGCGCGGUAAGUCGGGUGUGAAAUCUCGGAGCUUAACUUCGAAACUGCAUUCGAUACUGCCGGUGCUUGAGGACUGGAGAGGAGACUGGAAUUCAUGGUGUAGCAGUGAAAUGCGUAGAGAUCAUGAGGAAGACCAGUGCGAAGGCGGGUCUCUGGACAGUUCCUGACACUGAGACACGAAGGCCAGGGGAGCAAACGGG
rnacentral:rRNA from 1 species